rnacentral:lncRNA from 1 species
AGGGUUCCCGCGGGGCCUUCUGGGCACCACGACCUCGCCUUACGCGUCCGGGCGCAAGCCCCGUCCGAGGCCGCAGAGUCGGUGCCGUCUCCGGAGCUGCGCACACAGCGCACUGGGCCGAUCCGCCCUCCGGGACCGAGCCCUUGGCCCGGGGACCGUGCAGGCCCGGGGCCCUGGAGGCCGAGGAUCCAGGAGAGUUCACCUAGAAGGUGAAGUGCGGACCCGCCUCGGGAGCCGCGACCCGAGGGAAGGGACCCGCGGCUUCUGGCGCGCAGCAUCCGACUCGAAAUCCGCCUCCAGGGCGCCCCUGGCAGGCGCCUCGCUGUACCGGCCUAGCAGGGCCGCAGCCGGGGACGCCGCCCGGGCUGGGGUGGGGUCGGUUCCUCCGCGCUUUGGGGCUGCGCUCCGGUCCGGCCCCUGCCCAGCAUCGCCGAGUUCGUUUUCUAAAAAGGAGUUUUGGAAGCUCGGAUGGUCCCAUUUUGAAGCAAGGAGGCUGAGGCAGGAAGGUCACGAAGAGUUUGAUGGCAGCCAGGACCACUUGGAGGGACCCUGUCUCCAAACUCCCCCCAAAACAACAGAAAACCCCAAAACAAAAACACAUAAACACGAAAGUCCUCUGUCUUCAUCUUUGCUUGUAUGGUGCACUAUUAUUUUGUCUAACGUACAUGGUCUCUCUCACUAUUUCCGGUCUUUCUACAUGACCCUUCAAAUCCACCGUGGGCUGAGAAAGACACCCUGGAGCACAUCUGUUGGGAGUAUUACAGUUGCGCAAGGCACACAACCCACAUCACAUUGGAAUAAGGCGGAAGAUGUCCAUCUCACGGAAAUACUCAGCCUUCAGUCAUGUGCCUGGAGUUUAAAUGACUUGACGGAGACCCAGUUUCCUUCUCAUCCAUCCUCUUCCUCACCUGGGCUUCCUCCUCGGCCCCUGCUCCUGACAGCUCCGAGACAAACUGGUCAGCGCAAGUUCAGAGAAGACCAGUGCGAUCCGCCCAGUAGCUCUGGUGCUGGUUCCAGGAUGCAGCAGCUGCCACACACGCCUGUCCUGGACGCAGUUGCUGUGGCUGGGAAACUGUCCCCAGCCCGCUCUGGGCAGCUGCGGUCCUGUCUCUGGGACAAGGGGCAGCUCCAGUUGUCAGGUGGAGGCCUCCACAUCAUUCUUGGAAACAAGAGGCUCAAACGGAGGGAGAGGGGCGGAGGGAAAGCUCCAGGCAGAAGAGGAGCAGUGGAAAUGCCGCAGCCUGGUGACAAACGGGUUACAGAAACCAGGGCUAGGGACAGGCGUGGGGAAGCCCUCGGGACUGCUUUAUGGGGAAAGCCCGAGCAUUAUUAGCAUACACGUUCGCAUCGAUGGUUAUUUGGUGGGACAGCAGUAUUUCUUCAUAUCCCAGUUUAGCUGUAUUCUUUGCAGCUAAAGUUGCAAAAUAAGUAAGCUUUGUAUAUGUAAACCUUCAGUAUAUGGCUCUUGAAUUAAUGGAUUUUAUUUUAGAUUCUCCCUAUUCAAAUAAUAUUUUGAAGGGAAAUAAGAAAAAAGGAAUCUUUCCUCCUUAUAUAAUUGUUUCUGCAGAUUAACGUUUGAGAAAACACAUCGCAGAUCACUUAGGAGACACUAGAAAAAUAUCAUUCAGUUGGAAACCAAAAACUUCGCUGUGCAACCAACUCAGAUUUUAAUUGGUCAUGUGACCCCAAAAAGUCCUUUGAUUUCUUGAGAUUGUGUCAACAUGAUUUUAUCAGUAUGAAUGAUGUUAUUUAAAUUCUUCAUGGGGAAAUCAGGACCCUGAAAAAAGUACCUGUAUUAUUCUAGAUAGAGCCUGUAAUGGCAUCUUAAUGCCACAUGUACCAUUCAUUUCCGGGUUCAUGCUUGAGGGUGGUUAUAAAAGUGCUUUAAAAGUUUUUAAUGAAUUAUAGAUCUCAGCACAUGUAUCUUCCAGAUGAAAAGUUAAUUAAAUCAAAUAAACAAAUGCCUACUAAAAAGCACCCUCCCGGGUGCAGGGAUUGGGUUUGGUGAGCGGUGCACACAGGAGGACGGAGCCCCUGUCUCCUCUGUGAGGCACCUGCAGCUCCGUCCGUCUGUCUGUCGGAGGGGAGGGGAGGGAAAAUGGUCCACUCAGCGGUCCUUCCAGAGUGUGACGGUGUCCGAGAAAGCAACAGAGUGUUGGGGAGUUUCAAAGAGCGGAAAGAGAAGCUCCGAGGCUACUCAGAAAGACUGUACAGGACAUAAAACUGGGAUGGUCCGCGAAGGAGGAAUGGGUAAGACAUCUCAGAGUUAAGAGAGCAACAAGAACAACAAGGCAG